rnacentral:piRNA from 1 species
UGGACAGCCACUGAAGAGAGCCAGGCCAGA